rnacentral:rRNA from 1 species
UACACUCCUACGGGAGGCAGCAGUGGGGAAUAUUGCACAAUGGGCGCAAGCCUGAUGCAGCCAUGCCGCGUGUAUGAAGAAGGCCUUCGGGUUGUAAAGUACUUUCAGCGGGGAGGAAGGCGAUAAGGUUAAUAACCUUGUCGAUUGACGUUACCCGCAGAAGAAGCACCGGCUAACUCCGUGCCAGCAGCCGCGGUAAUACGGAGGGUGCAAGCGUUAAUCGGAAUUACUGGGCGUAAAGCGCACGCAGGCGGUCUGUCAAGUCGGAUGUGAAAUCCCCGGGCUCAACCUGGGAACUGCAUUCGAAACUGGCAGGCUAGAGUCUUGUAGAGGGGGGUAGAAUUCCAGGUGUAGCGGUGAAAUGCGUAGAGAUCUGGAGGAAUACCGGUGGCGAAGGCGGCCCCCUGGACAAAGACUGACGCUCAGGUGCGAAAGCGUGGGGAGCAAACAGGAUUAGAAACCCGGGUAGUCCCAU